rnacentral:rRNA from 1 species
UGAUCCUGGCUCAGGAUGAACGCUAGCUACAGGCUUAACACAUGCAAGUCGAGGGGCAGCGGGAUUGAAGCUUGCUUCAAUUGCCGGCGACCGGCGCACGGGUGAGUAACGCGUAUCCAACCUUCCGUACACUCAGGGAUAGCCUUUCGAAAGAAAGAUUAAUACCUGAUGGUAUGAUGAGAUUGCAUGAUAGCAUCAUUAAAGAUUUAUCGGUGUACGAUGGGGAUGCGUUCCAUUAGGUAGUAGGCGGGGUAACGGCCCACCUAGCCAACGAUGGAUAGGGGUUCUGAGAGGAAGGUCCCCCACAUUGGAACUGAGACACGGUCCAAACUCCUACGGGAGGCAGCAGUGAGGAAUAUUGGUCAAUGGACGAGAGUCUGAACCAGCCAAGUAGCGUGAAGGAUGAAGGUCCUACGGAUUGUAAACUUCUUUUAUAAGGGAAUAAACCCUCCCACGUGUGGGAGCUUGUAUGUACCUUAUGAAUAAGCAUCGGCUAACUCCGUGCCAGCAGCCGCGGUAAUACGGAGGAUGCGAGCGUUAUCCGGAUUUAUUGGGUUUAAAGGGAGCGCAGACGGGUCGUUAAGUCAGCUGUGAAAGUUUGGGGCUCAACCUUAAAAUUGCAGUUGAUACUGGCGUCCUUGAGUGCGGUUGAGGUGUGCGGAAUUCGUGGUGUAGCGGUGAAAUGCUUAGAUAUCACGAAGAACUCCGAUUGCGAAGGCAGCACACUAAUCCGUAACUGACGUUCAUGCUCGAAAGUGUGGGUAUCAAACAGGAUUAGAUACCCUGGUAGUCCACACGGUAAACGAUGGAUACUCGCUGUUGGCGAUAUACUGUCAGCGGCUUAGCGAAAGCGUUAAGUAUCCCACCUGGGGAGUACGCCGGCAACGGUGAAACUCAAAGGAAUUGACGGAAGGGCGAAUUCC